rnacentral:rRNA from 1 species
AUUGAACGCUGGCGGCAGGCCUAACACAUGCAAGUCGAGCGAGCGGCGGACGGGUGAGUAAUGUAUGGGGACUGCACGAUAGAGGGGGAUAAAUACUGGAAACGGUAGCUAAUACCGCAUACUAUCGGAGAACCCAAAGGGGAGUAUCUAGUAGGUUAGGUAAUGGUUCACCUAGACGACGAGCCCUAGCUGGGAUGAGAGGAGGAUCAGCCACACGUGGACUGAGCCACGGCCCAGAGUCCUACGGAGGCAGCAGUGGGGAAUAUUGCACAAUGGGCGCAAGCCUGAUGCAGCCAUGCCGCGUGUAUGAAGAAGGCCCUAGGGUUGUAAAGUACUUUCAGUCGGGAGGCGUUACCGACAGAAGAAGCACCGGCUAACUCCGUGCCAGCAGCCGCGGUAAUUC